GAUUUUCUACUUAAAUAUCUUUAUUUUUUCAGGUAUAUGAAGACGGUUAUACAGUAAACAAGACAGACAGGAAGGACCACAUAGGGAACACUAAGAGCUACCAUGAGGAAAAUGGAAUUAAAAACAGAUAUUACAUGAUGAGCAGCAGCAAUAGCCAAUCAGAAUGCAUUAUACCUAACCAGAGUUACAGAAUGAAAUUGUCUCCCAAUGGUCAGAAAAGAAGCUGGACUUUUUGUAUAGGCAUUAUUUUCAUGAUUUUAGUUGCUACUGUGUUAGCAGUGACAAAUUUUAAACAGAAACAUGUGCUAAAAAUAGAUGUUCCAGAAAAUGCAGUAAUAAGAAGAAUUCGUUCUUACUCUGUAAACCCUGACUUAUCAGCGAUAGCUCUAAAUAGUAGCAGUAUGACGUUGGUUACUAGAGUCCAGUUGCUACAAACUUCAUGUCUAACUGACAAGUCUCUAUGUGAGACCUACGCUAUGUGUGAUACAGACUUGGGUUACAUGACCUGUAGAUGUAAACGAGGGUUCUAUGUCAAAGACAGGAAAUGCAGAGCAUGUGCCACAUCAUGCCCAGAUGGUUAUUACAUGUCACGAGCCUGUACAUCCAGUAGUGAUGUCAUUUGUAGGCCAUGUUCUACGUGUACUGGAGCCUCUUAUGAAGUGGCAUCAUGCAGCAGUACACAGGAUACCAUCUGUGUUGGAGCAGCAUUUCCUGUACAAGAUGUUAAAUGGAAUAAAUUGAUUAAACAAUCAGCUGGUACUGAGGUCUCAUUGACAUCAUCCCAAAAUGUAUUCCAUGAAAAAAUAGGAGGAAUAAAGAAGUUGGAUGUCUCUAUGUACAUACCAAACAAUGCACAGAUUCAGGAGUUUGACUUCCAACGAGAAGCAGGUCUACACAUCAAGAUAAAGGUUUCCAGUCUGUAUCUGGUACCCCAGUAUAUUGAUUUAGAUCAUGAAGAUGAUUUCAAGUUCAUAGAUAGAGAUAGGUUCCAGUUGGAAAAAGCAAAGAAACAGUACAGGGCUAUUAAAAAGGAUUUCUGUAGGCAUCAGUUACCAGAUCAUUACAAACUGGUAUUGUACAUCACACGUAACCAUACCUCUGCUGCUAAUGCGGUCAAGUGUAACUCACAUGACCCUGACAUACCAGCAUGCCCUGAUGGAUAUAAGGACGGUGAUACCUACCUCAACAGACAAAUCAAUACGGAAUGUCCAUAUGAAAGAAAUCAAUAUUUUGAGAGAUUUGAACACAGAAAGAAUAAUAUCUAUUGUACACAUACAACCUCCUUGUUUAUGGAUACUUUUGGACUUAUACCAGAGGAGAUCAGUAAUUUUACCUACCCCACAGAAGACUGUCACAAGACAACAGAGGACUGUAAUAAAUGUUUGAUGUCUCCAAACUGUCGUUCAUAUGAAGGUCAGUGUUGUGAUAUAAAUUGUUACACACAAAGAAGCUGUCAGAAGUCUUUCAGUGAUGAUUGUCCUAAAAAGCCUGUGGAAUGUGCUUCUGGUGAUAUUCAUAAUUUUGUCUUGGAGCCGGUGUUCUCGUCAGUAAAUGAUAGAUUCUUGUGUCACUUGAAGUACAAGAAACCACGACAUUUAUACCAAAUGGAAUACACAGUGCGUAUGCUAGGGAUAGACUACACCCUUCCAAAAAGGGUCAAAUUCGCUAAGGGUGAUAUAUCCUUCAACGAGAGAGGGGUGUUUACAUCAGAGUUUAUUAAAGCAUCACACUAUUCUUUUCCAAAAAUAAGUGAUGAAAUUAUUCUUAUUGGUUCUGAGAAUGAUAAAAUAACACACAGGCCAACCAAAUUUCAAGUGCAUGGAUUGAAAAAACCACAUGAUUUUAAUAAGAGGAAGAAGUUCAGGGUACGUCCACACAGAUCAAGUCUUGGAUUAAGUAAUGUUUACUCUACAAACAUCCAGGUGGAGCGGCCAUUUAUGUAUAGUUCUUCUACUUUCUCAAAAGGUGGUUGUAUUGAGAAGAAUUUCUCCGAUAUUUAUCCUCCACAACCACUCUACGGACCAUCUAGCAUCCGUGUGGAUCCAUCAAUAACUAUAACAGGAGCUGGAAUUGAGUAUGAGACACCAGUAUAUAACAUUACUAGAUCAGCCUAUAUUAGAAUGUUUAUUGAUAAUUCUUCCAUUUUGACUCACUUCAAAGAUGAUCUGCCAAAAUCAGUCUUAGAUGGAAGUUCUGUGUCUGGUGGAUUAGUGUGGAAUCCUAAAACAGGCUUGUGGACUAUAAAAGUACAAGGGAAACUACAGUCUUGUCCAGGAUAUCUGACCGUUGAUAUGUAUGACCAGUUUAUGGAAGGAAAAUUGGCUCAUUUCGAUGUGUUUGUCAAAUGUCCUGUAGAAUUUCAUUUGACCUUCGACCUGAAGACACCAAAUACAGACUUGCCAAAUGUGUUUGUUGCUCGGAUUAAUGAUUCUUACAUCAGUCACUAUGUUUUAUUGUCUAUGAUGCAUCCACCAUUUUAUCCACCUUCAGAGUAUCCUCUAACUGAGUCAACAAAUCAGUUGUACCAGUUUCCAUGGCUACCCAUCAUUGCUACAUUGAUCAUAACAUCCAUUGUUUUCUCAGCAUUUGUUGCAGCCUUUUUGGUAAUCAAAAGACAGCGACCAAUUCAAACUCCAGAGGUCAAGAAAUACAUUAGUCCACAGACGACCACCUAUAUUGGUGCUAAAGAUGAUGAGAGAAAUGUCAACCAACCUUUGACCUUGACCUUGUUUUCAAAACCAGUUUCAAAACAUGUGUCAUGUACAUUAUGUACACUAUAUAUUGUGUAUGCCUUUAUGUUCACAUUUUCGAUGUUUUUAGGAGUGUUCUAUUUAGUCCAGGGACCUCUUGUUAGUAAUUUAACAAUUGUAUCAAAUACUAGUGCAAAAAUUCAUGAAUCUGUUAGCAGUCAUAUGGCCAAAAUCAGUCAAUACGAAGACCAGGAACUAGUCAAUGCAUUCAAUGGAACAUUUAAUCGUAUGAGAGCUUGCUCAGCACAUCUUAAACAGGAUGUAGCAAGAAUAGAUAAAUCCAUCAGAAAAAAUGUUCAGGAUGUUUUAAAUAAGUUUUAUAGUGGUCAGGGUUUAGUAAAAACUGCUAUAGAUAUUAGCAUAACUGAAAAAUCAAAACUAAUUGCUGAUAAAUUUCAGAAAUUUUUAACUGAAACUGACUCUGUGUUAGAUAAACAUUUUGAUAAUACACAGGGAAAGUACAUUGAACUUCUUGAGAACUUUAGGGAUAAUUCAUGGCUAAAAUUCUCUAAGGAGAGAUUUGCUGAUCAGCAGUUUAUUAUGGGAGAGGAGAAGACAUUCCAGGGAUUGAAGGACUUUAUGAAGUGGCUUGAAGUCGAUGGUGUGGAACCAGUUCUUAAUUUUAAGGACAUUAUAAAGAAUAGACUGAAGAAGUCUGUAGAAGAACUUAUACCUGCAGGACUACAAGUAUCACCUGGAACAGUACUAUUGAAAAAGGAUCCAGAGUUACCUGUUAACUAUAAAUCAGAAUUCAAAUCACAAAUUCUAGAGGCUGCAGAAACAUUAUGGGUUAAUACUAACUCAUCAUCAGACGGAAGGUCUAAUGAACCACAGGAUGAUAAAAUGAUGUCUAAAGCAAAGAUGAUCAGUCGUAUGAAACAAAUUAUACUACCAGUUUUCAUAUGUUUAUUUAUUAUUAUGGAUGCUUUCAUGUUAGGCUAUAGAUUUGUGUGGUUAUGGAAAAUAUUACGCAAGGCUAAAAUGGGAGUGGAUAUCAAAGUACCUACAGACCAUGUGGCUGAAAAAAUUCAGUUUUGGCAAACAGGAUGUAAUAAUCGUAAACUAGAACAUGCCUCAAAAGAAAAUCCUUACAACUUUUAUUCAGAAAACAAAGAAGACAUGUGGUCCGGUAAAAAUGAUCCUAUUCAAUUGUAUGCCAAUACUGCUCAGAAAUCCAAACAGGAAAUCCUGAGAGAAAUCUGGAAUAAAAAACAAAAACAGAAACGUAUAUCGUACACAGAGAGUACUCCACACUCAUUUGUAGCUAGAACUAUUUUUACUUUGUCAACUUUUCUUUACAAACAUUUAAUUGCUCCUAUCCUGUGGAGGUUUGUUCUAGUCGGAGCUUUCGUUUUAGUGAUUUGUUUAGUUACAAAGGCUACUUCAGACUUGGUUAGCAUAGAAACAGCUACAUUUCUCAUAGACACUAAAUCCAUCAUUCCACAGUUACAUAGACAGGUUGACAUUACAAAUAGUUUAUUAAUAGAUGUUACCUCUGACCUCAACAUUAUUUUGAAAGAGCACAAAGCAUUGGUUGAUUCAGAAGUGGCAGCCAUUAACCAUUUUCUGACCAGUACAAUAAAUACACAGAAUGAAGUAUUACAACUGAUACUAUCAGACCUCUGUUCCAUGACUCAUACAGAUAUUUGUAGUCCAUCAUUACUGAGGGUCCAAGAGCUGAUAACAUCUUGUAAUUUUUUACCAGUUACAUCAUCACCAUUUAAAGGUUAGUUUUAUAGUAGAGGAGAACAUUACAUCAUCACCAUUUAAAGGUUAGUUUUAUAGUACAGGAGAACAUUACAUCAUCACCAUUUAAAGGUUAGUUUUAUAGUAGAGGAGAACAUUACAUCAUCACCAUUUAAAGGUUAGUUUUAUAGUAGAAGGGAACAUUACAUCAUCACCAUUUAAAGGUUAGUUUUAUAGUAGAGGAGAACAUUACAUCAUCACCAUUUAAAGGUUAGUUUUAUAGUAGAAGGGAACAUUACAUCAUCACCAUUUAAAGGUUAAUUUUAUAGUAGAGGGGAACAUUACAUCAUCAUCAUUUAAAGGUUAGUUUUAUAGUAGAGGCGAACAUUACAUCAUCACCAUUUAAAGGUUAAUUUUAUAGUAGAGGCGAACAUUACAUCAUCACCAUUUAAAGGUUAGUUUUAUAGUAGAGGCGAACAUUACAUCAUCACCAUUUAAAGGUUAGUUUUAUAGUAGAGGCGAACAUUACAUCAUCACCAUUUAAAGGUUAGUUUUAUAGUAGAGGCGAACAUUACAUCAUCACCAUUUAAAGGUUAGUUUUAUAGUAGAGGCGAACAUUACAUCAUCACCAUUUAAAGGUUAGUUUUAUAGUAGAGGCGAACAUUACAUCAUCACCAUUUAAAGGUUAGUUUUAUAGUAGAAGGGAACAUUACAUCAUCACCAUUUAAAGGUUAUUUUUAUAGUAGAGGAGAACAUUACAUCAUCACCAUUUAAAGGUUAGUUUUAUAGUAGAGGCGAACAUUACAUCAUCACCAUUUAAAGGUUAGUUUUAUAGUAGAAGGGAACAUUACAUCAUCAUCAUUUAAAGGUUAGUUUUAUAGUAGAGGCGAACAUUACAUCAUCACCAUUUAAAGAAAUGGAUGAAGGAUUAUUUGUGCAUUAUUUACAUUCAGAGUUAGUUCCCCUUGUUAGUACAUUAAGACAGAUUUUGUUAAACACAUGUUACAUAUUAUUUGUGUAUGCCUGUCUCAUGCUUAUAUGUCACAUGCUCAUCCGUAUUGUGAUUUUCUAUCUGAUCAAGAAAGGCCAACUUCCAAAAGCCAUGAUUUAUCUUGUGUCUAACACUAAUGACUGCUGGAAAGUGAACGAGGGCAGUAAUACUAAGUCUAUGUAUCGUAGUAACUCAUGUAUAGAGAGUUGUGAGAGUGGAGUAGUAGGGGAUAUUGAAGAUCAUAGAGAGUCUAAUAUGUGAAGCAGGUCAUGUGAUCAAAAUGUGAAUGUUAGAUCCAGUCGUGUGAUCUGAAUGUAAAAUGGCUGAAAUGUGAAGCAUUUAGCAUGAAAUAAGCAUUGAAUCAUGGUAAAAUGUGAAGUAUUAAGCAAACGAAAAGUACUGAAUCAUGGUGAAAUGUAAAUCCUUCUAUUGCUGUUGUUCAAAGGUGAAGACAGAAGUAAUUUAUGAGCGUAGUACAAAAAACUGAAAUAUGAAUAUAUACGAUACGAUACGAUAAAAAUGAAAAAUCCGGGCAGAUAUUUAAAACUUGUCAGACAUAUUAAACUAGGGAGUUUCUGAAAAGGUUGUCAAAUAGGUGAUUUUUAGAGAGAGACCUGAAGAAGAAAAAAUUGAAGAAGAAACUAAGAUGAAUUUAAUGGAGCAAAAUACCCAGAACUUUUUCAAUCAAGAUACUCAAUAUAAUCAGCUUUCAUUGAUAAUGAUAAUAUUGAUUUAAUCUUUAUGAGCAAAAUUUAUUGAGCACUAGAAGUUUGUGUUCAACGUGAAAAAACAAUUUGUGAAAAUUAUUUUAAAGCAUUUUUGUGCUGAAUUUUUGUUUUCUUAUUAAAAUGCAAAAAUAUGUGCAUCUAGAAAUAUAAAGUUUAAAAGUAAUGGUGCAGCUUUUAUAUUACAUAUAUCAGCUUUCAAUACUUUGUCAAAAUAUUUAAGUAGCUUUUUAUAUUAUUAAAAUUACAGAUGCAUUAAAACAGGUAACAGGAUUGAUUACAAGUAGUCCUUGGCAUGAUAACUGAUGAAUAACUUACCAAAGGUCCACACAAGUUUUAUGUACAUGUUGAUUAUGAAAUUAAGUAUGGUAUAUUGUUGUUCAUUUGUCUAUCUUAUUGAAAUAUGAGUCAAUUUAUCCUUUGAACAGCCAUAUAAUUAAAAGUUAUUGUCACAUAGGUUAAAGGUCAAUGAGACACAAAAAUUCAAAAUACAUCUAGAGAUCAUCCUCAGACAAGAAAACAUGCUUUAUUGAUAAAUAAAUCAGGUUAUAGGUUCGAAGUUGGUGUUUAAUGUUAAUUUAUGUCAACAACAAUUGUGAGUCAUGUGACCAGAACUUGUCAUAAUAUUUAUUUAACUGUUGUGAUAUUUGUUAAGUUUGUGAUACUUUAAUAAAUGUGUAGCUUA